ACCCGACUGGCGCAAUGGUAGCGCGUCAGACUUCUAAUUCACCGGUUUGGAUCAGCUAUCUGAAGGCUGUGGGUUCGACCCCCACGUUGGGUU